rnacentral:rRNA from 1 species
AAAGCCCCGCAAGGGGUAAGUAGAGUGGCAAACGGGUGAGUAACACGUGGGUGACCUGCCUUCGAGUGGGGGAUAACGUCCCGAAAGGGACGCUAAUACCGCAUGACAUCCUGCGUUUGGAAACGCGGAGAUCAAAGCCUGGGAUCGCAAGACCUGGCGCUUGAAGAGGGGCCCGCGCCUGAUUAGCUAGUUGGUGGGGUAACGGCCUACCAAGGCAACGAUCAGUAUCCGGCCUGAGAGGGCGGACGGACACACUGGGACUGAGACACGGCCCAGACUCCUACGGGAGGCAGCAGUGGGGAAUUGUUCGCAAUGGGCGCAAGCCUGACGACGCAACGCCGCGUGGAGGACGAAGAUCUUCGGGUCGUAAACUCCUGUCGAGCGGGAAGAAUGCUUCCCGGGUGAAUAAUCCGGGGAGGUGACGGUACCGCUAAAGGAAGCCCCGGCUAACUCCGUGCCAGCAGCCGCGGUAAUACGGGGGGGGCAAGCGUUGUUCGGAAUUACUGGGCGUAAAGGGCUCGUAGGCGGCCAACUAAGUCGGAUGUGAAAUCCCCAGGCUUAACCUGGGAACUGCAUCCGAUACUGGAUGGCUUGAAUCCGGGAGAGGGAUGCAGAAUUCCAGGUGUAGCGGUGAAAUGCGUAGAUAUCUGGAGGAAUACCGGUGGCGAAGGCGGCAUCCUGGACCGGCAUUGACGCUGAUGAGCGAAAGCUAGGGGAGCAAACGGGAUUAGAUACCCCGGUAGUCCUAGCCCUAAACGAUGAAUGCUUGGUGUGGCGGGUAUCGAUCCCUGCCGUGCCGAAGCUAACGCA